ensembl:lncRNA
AUGACACCCCUCCCCAAUCAAGAAGGCGAAGCUGCGUCUCCUUCAGAGCCCAAACAAAGUGAGGAGCGCUCCAUGCAGCCCCCAGAGAAGCUUGUGGGGAGGGGGUCCUACUCUCCCUCUAACCAUCUGCUGCUUCGAUUGAAGGGGAAAAAAAAAAAACAAACAAAUCGCGGACAAAAAGGUGGAGCGUGCGCAGCGCAGAGCCUCUCACACCUUCGUCGUGGCAGACUUCCUCCUCUUCCUCCUUCAGUCCAUAAUGGAGCUCCAGAGCCGCGGCUCUCCUUCCUCCCGUCGCUCCGGGUUUGUAAACAGAUCUGCGCUCAUGUGACCUGCCGUUUUGCCUCGCAACGCUCCCCUCCGUCGGCCCUCCCCCGCUGCCUGCGUCCUCCAAUCUGCAGGCGGAGGACGGCGCAGUGAGGCUGCGCGGGCGAAUGGGGUGCGUGCGCGCGCGCCUGUGCGUGCGCAUGUGCGCGAGGAGGGAGACACUUGAAGCAAAGUCAGGGGAGGCCGCUGAUGUGCUGACAACCAAAACAAAGCCAUCUGAGUGAAAUGGAGGUCAAGGAGGAGACGCGCGCGCGCGCGCACGGACGCGGUGCGGGAGCAUCCUCUGCCGGGGGGGGCGCGACAAUGAUGGGGGGAGAAAAAGCCCGCACAAAGACGUGAGGAGGCACCAGCAGCCCCCACCGAGGAGGAGGAGGAGGAGGAGAACAUCUGCCGGGCUGCUGGAUAAGCCCCCCCCCCCAGGGAGGGGGAGGUGCACGCCUGCCUCAUUCAUUGCCUCCAUCCCACCCUCAACUCCCCCAGCAAGAAAUCACCCAUGAGCUCCUGGGAACAGCUGCAUCAGCUGUACUGAGACUGACUUCACGCAUGCGCAGUUGGGAGUGUUAUGACUGCAGGGUUGUUGCCGAGCUGCAGGUUCUAGGAGCAGCACGCCCUCUUGUGUAACAUGUUUAUAUUAAAAUAACUUAAAAAAAUGUCAACAAGUUCUGAAGAUGAUCAAAGUUAACAUGUGCAGCAGGUUUUGGAAACAGGCCUGUUUAGUUUACAGGAGAGUUAAGAGUUCCACUUCAUCUUUCAAUCUACUGUAAAAGUGGUCUUUUAGAUUUUUUGCAGAGCAGGCCUGUUUUUAUUUCCCAUCAUCCAUUUGUUUACACUCUACUAGCUUGCAGCCGGAAGCCCUAAAGGGUCACAACAACACAACACUUGAAGUUCACAACAUAAACACUAAAAAACUCUGUAACGACAGAGUUAUAAACAUUUCUAAUAGCACACACAAAGAGUUAAAAAUCAUCUUUUACUAUUAUUUACUAACUUCUGGAGAUUUUACAACCUUCACGCUGAUUGUUUCUUGUGUUUUCCCGCCGCAGCUCACCAACUCUGGCGUAACUUUCUGUUAGCCGGUUAGCCUCAUGGAAAUUUCAGAAUAAAAGUCGUUCAACUUCUGUUUGACACAAUGUGUUGUGUUGUGAUCCUAAACUGUUGCGGUGUGAGCGUAAGUGUCCCAAGCGAACAUUUGUUUAUUUACUAUUCUUCAUAAUUCAGUUACAAUAAGUUAAAAAUGUGUGUAUCAAAUGUGAGACAGUGGGUAAAUACAAUUAUUUUUUCCUGAACAUUCAUGUCAAUACUUUUGCAUAUUUACUAUCAUUAAUAAUGAUGUUGUAAAAUGUAUUUCUUUCAUCAAAGGGUUUAAAACAUUUUAGCAGCAAGAAAGUUGAAUUUUGUGUUAAUUCUUUAAAGUAGAGAGUUUUUUAGGCUUUCUGGACCUACUUUGUUUCUUAGGUGUCUUCCUCUCUAAGUCAAUUCAAUGGACUCUGUUGAAGAAUACGAGGAACGUUGAUAAAUACUGUCACAUAAGACUCCCCAUCUUGCGUGGUCCUCCACUCCUCUGACUGUUAUCUAUGAAGAAGCCCCUGCAGCUCCUGACCAAAGUACACCACGUUUCAUCUAGCAAAUUCCUUCAAACUUCCUCAUGAUUCUUGCUUCUUCAGAUUCACAAUGUGGCUAUUUAUAUUCAGUCUUGUAAGGGUGUCCAAAUCCAGACCUGAGGCCCGGCCUCCUGCUGGUUUUCUAAACCUUGCCUUAUCUACUACUGAUUACCUGGAUCAGGUAAUAGCCAAUAAGGAGCUUUAAUGACAGGUUAGUUGAAAACACGUAGGACACUGAAAAGUCUGUUUGUAAUCACGCUGAAGUGAACCACACCAGAGUUCAUUUGCAAGAGAACGGAGACCAUCGUUCUCAAGAGGAACAGAGUUCUCUUAAUUGUUUGGUCCAAACCCGACUUCAGGUGAGCUUUCACACCUGCAGAACCAGCUCUGGACAUUAAAAAAAAAACGAAAACAGACUGCCUGAGCUAAAGAUUUAGAGGUUAAGAAAACCAGGGGAUCUUAUGUAUAUUUCUCUUACAAAAAUCAACUUAAGUAAUAAUUUUUUGAUUCUGGGGUGACAUUUUAUUUUCACACUUCACUCAACUUUCUCUACAAAGAUCAGCUGGACGUUGACGUGGGAAUGGAGAUGAAGAACGUUGUUGCUGCUGCUUGUUGACCAAUGAACUGAUGUCACUGGUUCACAGGUUUUCAUCAGAAACCAGGUUACAUGCAAAAGACCCCAGUGUGGCCUCCAAACAUUCAGCUGUAAACACAUUAGAGAGCAGAAAAACACCUAUAUGUGUCACUCUGGUGCCACUGUGCACAAAAGAGCAAAUUAGAUGCAAAUUAUUUGGAAAUAUUUUGGUCCAGACUUUUUUUUGUACAUAUGUUUUGUACUCAAGUUCAUUUCUAAAUAAACGUGACAUUAUAAUGUCAGCUGUGCAAAUACACAUGGAGAGUAUGGAGCUAAAUCUGGGCAAAUAUUAUUUGAAACUUUCAAAAUAUUUUGAAGAAAAUAUUAGUGUUUCUUUCUUUUUUUUUAAAGUUUGUCACAUCACUUGCUUCACGUAAAAUGUUAAAAAUGUAAUAAUUAAAACUACAAAUAAAAUUAAUUACAAAGUUUGACAAAAUCAUCAUUUUGUCUGGUUCUCUGCCCCUCCUUGUGCGCGGUGAUAUCUGUUAGUGCCGCUGUAAAACUUUAUGGAUGAAAAAACAGCAAAACAAGCCCUCAG